GUACUUACGUGGCAGGUGGAAUACCACAAGAAGGUGGUUUCCCCAGGGUGAGGCUGUCCCAUUGCACACUUUGGUGGGGAUGACCCCUGUGUUUUCCCCAAAUUUAGAAAACUCAGCUGCAUAACUUAUGGUACAUGGAUGGUUGAUUAUAUUACUCUGUA